AGAGCGAACGCUGGCGGCAGGCCUAACACAUGCAAGUCGAGCGCCCGUAGCAAUACGGGAGCGGCAGACGGGAUAGUAACACGUGGGAACGCGCCCUUCGGUUCGGAAUAACUCAGGGAAACUUGAGCUAAUACCGAAUACGCCCUUACGGGGAAAGAUUUAUUGCCGAAGGAACGGCCCGCGUCCGAUUAGCUAGUUGGUGAGGUAAUGGCUCACCAAGGCUACGAUCGAUAGCUGGU
rnacentral:rRNA from 1 species